UUGCCCCCCUCCCCCUUUGACCUCGACCCUUCCGUGGGAUUCGUUCAAAUACGGAUACAUGUAUCGCUGUCGUCGCUGUAUUCGCCUCUGUUGAUGUUCGUUUCGGGGACCAACUUUGCUCUCGACGUUACUAAGAGAGACGACUGACAGCUGUCCAGCAAACAUCUCCGCACGAUGGUUACAAAUUAUAUUAACGAGCCGGAUCUUGAUAUCAUUAUGGCAAUUGACGGGAAUGUAACAAUAACGGUGGAGGAUGAGGAAUUUUUUUUUUCCAAGCCGGAUAAUUGACUGCUGAACGUGUGUGCGUGUAAUUAAAAGAGCAAUUCAUUUGGAACGUUAUCAAAUAUUUCUGCACGAUGGUUACAAAAUAUAAUAUACAUAGUAA